GGCUCAGAACGAACGCUGGCGGCGUGUUUUAAGCAUGCAAGUCGAACGGUAACGGGGGAGUGCUUGCACUCCUGCUGACGAGUGGCGCACGGGUGAGUAACACGUAGACAAUCUACCCUGGAGACUGGGAUAGCCAUUAGAAAUAGUGGGUAAUACCAGAUGAAGUAGCGGAUUGUAAAAAUGUGCUAUCAAAGAUUUAUCGCUCUGGGAUGAGUCUGCGGGCAAUUAGCUUGUUGGUAGGGUAAGAGCCUACCAAGGCAACGAUUGUUAGCUGGCCUGAGAGGGUGGUCGGCCACAUUGGGACUGAGACACGGCCCAGACUCCUACGGGAGGCAGCAGCUAAGAAUAUUCCGCAAUGGGGGAAACCCUGACGGAGCGACGCCGCGUGAUAGAUGAAGGCUUUACAGGUUGUAAAUAUCUUUUAUAAGGGAAGAAGGUAUUCCACAGGAGAGUAUUGACGGUACCUUAUGAAUAAGCCCCGGCUAAUUACGUGCCAGCAGCCGCGGUAAUACGUAAGGGGCGAGCGUUGUUCGGAGUUAUUGGGCGUAAAGGGUAUGUAGGCGGAGUAUUAAGUCAGAUGUGAAAUUUAAAGGCUCAACCUUUAACCUGCAUUUGAUACUGAUGCUCUUUGAGUUCGGGAGAGGAUACUGGAAUUCCUGGUGGAGGAGUGAAAUCUUUAGAUAUCAGGAAGAACACCAAUGGCGAAGGCCGGUAUCUGGCCCUGAACUGACGCUGAGGUACGAAAGCCAGGGUAGCGAACGGGAUUAGAUACCCCGGUAGUCCUGGCAGUUAAACGGAUGUAUACUGGGUAUAUCCGGUAUCGAC
rnacentral:rRNA from 1 species